GUGGGGAAUAUUGGACAAUGGGCGCAAGCCUGAUCCAGCCAUGCCGCGUGAGUGAUGAAGGCCUUAGGGUUGUAAAGCUCUUUCACCGGAGAAGAUAAUGACGGUAUCCGGAGAAGAAGCCCCGGCUAACUUCGUGCCAGCAGCCGCGGUAAUACGAAGGGGGCUAGCGUUGUUCGGAAUUACUGGGCGUAAAGCGCACGUAGGCGGAUAUUUAAGUCAGGGGUGAAAUCCCAGAGCUCAACUCUGGAACUGCCUUUGAUACUGGGUAUCUUGAGUAUGGAAGAGGUAAGUGGAAUUCCGAGUGUAGAGGUGAAAUUCGUAGAUAUUCGGAGGAACACCAGUGGCGAAGGCGGCUUACUGGUCCAUUACUGACGCUGAGGUGCGAAAGCGUGGGGAGCAAACAGGAUUAGAAACCCUAGUAGUCC
rnacentral:rRNA from 1 species